rnacentral:ribozyme from 1 species
AUCCAAAAGGAAUCUACGCUCCAUUUGGUACUUCGUCUUCGUGGUGGAGUUAUUGAACCAACGCUUGCUGCUUUGGCAAAAACCUUCAACUGUGAAAAGAAAGUGUGCCGUAAA